GACGAACCGUGCAAACGUUAUUCGGAAUCACUGGGCAUAAAGGGCGCGUAGGCGGCUCCAAAAGUCAGGGGUGAAAUCCGGCAGCUUAACUGUCGCAGUGCCUUUGAUACUGUGGAGCUAGAGGGAGGUAGGGGUCUGUGGAACUUCCGGUGGAGCGGUGAAAUGCGUUGAUAUCGGAAGGAACGCCGGUGGCGAAAGCGACGGACUGGAUCUCUUCUGACGCUGAGGCGCGAAAGCGUGGGGAGCGAACAGG
rnacentral:rRNA from 1 species